ncrna:unclassified sequences Transposase-1 RNA
CGUUCAGAGAUUGUCACUGUCAUUAACCACAUAGUUGGAUAUGGGAAUACAAUUGUUGG